rnacentral:rRNA from 1 species
GUAAUGCAUAGGAAUCUGCCCAUGUAGUGGGGGACAACUUCGGGAAACCGGAGCUAAUACCGCAUACGACCUACGGGUGAAAGCAGGGGAUCUUCGGACCUUGCGUUAUUAGAGCGGCCGAUAUCUGAUUAGGUAGUUGGUAGGGUAAAGGCCUACCAAGCCGACGAUCAGUAGCUGGUCUGAGAGGACGAUCAGCCACACUGGAACUGAGACACGGUCCAGACUCC